rnacentral:rRNA from 1 species
UACGUAGGGUGCGAGCGUUGUCCGGAAUUAUUGGGCAUAAAGAGCUCGUAGGCGGUUUGUCGCGUCGACUGUGAAAACCUACAGCUUAACUGUGGGCUUGCAGUCGAUACGGGCAGACUUGAGUUCGGUAGGGGAGACUGGAAUUCCUGGUGUAGCGGUGAAAUGCGCAGAUAUCAGGAGGAACACCGGUGGCGAAGGCGGGUCUCUGGGCCGAUACUGACGCUGAGGAGCGAAAGCGUGGGGAGCGAACAGG